rnacentral:rRNA from 1 species
CCCUAUUAUAUCAACUGUAAAUAUUAACCGCUUAAGUAGUAAUUAGUUAUGGCCUCUAAACUUAAAGAAUUUGGCGGUAUUCUAGUCUAGUUAGAGGAACCUGUACUAUAAACGAUAGCCCCCGGAUUAUCUUACUUCAUUUUGUGGUCAGUUUGUAUACCGCCAUCAUAAAAUAAUGCUAAAAAUCAUAUAUUAUAAGAGAAUGUCUCUAGUAUGUUAGGUCAAGGUGCAGCUAAUAGUGAAGUAGCUAUGGGUUACAAUGUGUUAUAAAUAUAUGAAUUGUAGGUUGAAAAUUUAUAUGAAAGUGGAUUUAAUAGUAAGUGUAUUUUAAUAAGUUACAUUGAUAGUGGCUCUAGGAUAUGUACAUAUCGCCC